rnacentral:rRNA from 1 species
GAGUGGCGAACGGGUGAGUAACACGUGGGCAAUCUGCCCUGCACUUCGGGAUAAGCCUGGGAAACUGGGUCUAAUACCGGAUAGGACCUUUAGGCGCAUGUCUUUAGGUGGAAAGCUUUUGCGGUGUGGGAUGGGCCCGCGGCCUAUCAGCUUGUUGGUGGGGUGAUGGCCUACCAAGGCGACGACGGGUAGCCGGCCUGAGAGGGUGUCCGGCCACACUGGGACUGAGAUACGGCCCAGACUCCUACGGGAGGCAGCAGUGGGGAAUAUUGCACAAUGGGCGCAAGCCUGAUGCAGCGACGCCGCGUGGGGGAUGACGGCCUUCGGGUUGUAAACCUCUUUCACCAUCGACGAAGGUCCGGGUUUUCUCGGAUUGACGGUAGGUGGAGAAGAAGCACCGGCCAACUACGUGCCAGCAGCCGCGGUAAUACGUAGGGUGCGAGCGUUGUCCGGAAUUACUGGGCGUAAAGAGCUCGUAGGUGGUUUGUCGCGUUGUUCGUGAAAUCUCACGGCUUAACUGUGAGCGUGCGGGCGAUACGGGCAGACUAGAGUACUGCAGGGGAGACUGGAAUUCCUGGUGUAGCGGUGGAAUGCGCAGAUAUCAGGAGGAACACCGGUGGCGAAGGCGGGUCUCUGGGCAGUAACUGACGCUGAGGAGCGAAAGCGUGGGGAGCGAACAGGAUUAGAUACCCUGGUAGUCCACGCCGUA